rnacentral:rRNA from 1 species
CCGWWCUKGAGUUUGAUCCUGGCUCAGAGCGAACGCUGGCGGCMGGCCUAACACAUGCAAGUCGAACGAACUCUUCGGAGUUAGUGGCGGACGGGUGAGUAACACGUGGGAACGUGCCUUUAGGUUCGGAAUAACUCAGGGAAACUUGAGCUAAUACCGGAUGUGCCCUUCGGGGGAAAGAUUUACCGCCUUUAGAGCGGCCCGCGUCUGAUUAGCUAGUUGGUGAGGUAAAGGCUCACCAAGGCGACGAUCAGUAGCUGGUCUGAGAGGAUGAUCAGCCACAUUGGGACUGAGACACGGCCCAAACUCCUACGGGAGGCAGCAGUGGGGAAUCUUGCGCAAUGGGCGAAAGCCUGACGCAGCCAUGCCGCGUGAAUGAUGAAGGUCUUAGGAUUGUAAAAUUCUUUCACCGGGGACGAUAAUGACGGUACCCGGAGAAGAAGCCCCGGCUAACUUCGUGCCAGCAGCCGCGGUAAUAC